UCACAUAAUCACUGCAAGUGUUUAUUGACCAUGUUCCAUCUUCCAGUCACCUGGAGACAUCUCUCAGCAAAGGAAACACCUUCCAAUCUCUCAGUAUCAUACAGAUUUCUCUCCAGUGGCCACAGCCCAGCUAUCUCUUCAGGUCCUGACUUGUCUUCAGCUGGCUACUCCCUGGAGGUCUGAGGCCUUGACUUAUAUUUUACGAAGAACUUUCACUGCAGUGGGAAGCUGACCUGCAGAAACUCUGGGAUGAGUGGGCUUGAACAUAUACCACUGGCCAAAUUCCCUGCUGCAUUGAAAGGGUGCCCUUCGUUUGGUCCCCUCUGGGCACCCAGCAUUUAGCUAGGGGCAAGCAGAAGCUGGUUUAAGAUUUAUUGCCCUGCCCCAAUCCCCAGUAAUGCCUAUGCCUGGGCCCCCUGCAGCCCCCUGAGCACCAGUUAAAGUUAAAGAACAAGAACAGUUCUAAAGGGGUUGCCGGGAGGGUGGAGAGAUGCUGCUAAGAACAGUCAAACAGAAGUUGUCUCAGAGUGGAUCCUGAUUUUUUUUCUUUCUUGGUUCCUUUCCAAGCCAUUUAAAAAAUAAACUCCAUGAAAGAUGGAAACAACCUAAAUAUCCAGUAAUAAAGUAUAUUUCUCUUAAGAAGGAAAAUUAUGGGUCAAUGAAAAAUUCCUUCCUUUUGAAUAUCAUUUCAUGUCCACGUAAUAGUCGUUAGAAACAUAACAUUAAAAAGAAAUGCACAAAACUGUAAAUGGUUAUGGUAUGUUGUAGGCAUCAUGUGGCACAUGAAAAAUCUACCUGUUAUUUAACACUGUAUUUAAAAAGAAAAACGGGACUGUUUUAGGCAGAACUAGCUGUUCCACUUGUGGUUUAGAAUAAAAUUUCCAGUGACAGUAAACAGAUUCAAAAAGUGCUGUAACUCAAAACAAUGUAGAAGGAAGAGAAGGUGACGCGCUCCAGGAACUGACGGAGACAAUAAUGUGAAAGAGACACGAGGAGAGUUUGAAUGCAUUAUGUCAUGAAAUGUGAAAGUGGAAACAAGUCUUAUUUCUACCUUAGUAUGUUAUUUUAUACAGCAUGUGAUUUAAAGAUGUGUGUGCAAUGAAAGUAAUGUAUGGUUUAAGUUAAAAAUCAUGUUUUCGAAGACCAGUGAUGUGGGGAAAAGGUCAUGGCAGUGAUAAAUCAGUAUAAGAUGUUUGGUCCGCAAAAACUGCUGAACUGUAAAUAUAUAUACACAUAUGAAGGAGAUGAAGGGAAUAAAAUGUAUGUCAGUCUGGAAGGAAAGUCACCCAAAAGAAUGAAUCAUUUGAUUUGUGUGUUAAGAUUACAGGUGACUUUUAUUUUCUUCUUUAUGUAUUUUUAUAGUUUCUAAAGUUUACACAGUGAAUAUUCAUGACUUUUCUAACAAAAAAGAACCUUAUUUUAAAAAAAUACAAUAAACUAUCUGCCAGUA